GGGAUAUAUGUGUGUUUAUGUACAGGUAGUAUAUACUGUGAAGUCCAUAUUCAUAAGGUUUUUACAUUUAAGGUUGAAAACUACAGAACUACAAUAACCUCCACAAAAGCCCAAAGUAGUGAGUAUGUGGCCUCUCAAGAUGACCCAGAAACUUGUAGUUCAGACCUGCAACCUCAGUCUAAUGAUGAUCAUUGCUAUGCUUUGCCAGCUUCUCUUACCGCUGUCACUGCAAAACAUAAGAUAGCGUUGGCAAGAGUGGAAUAUCUGGAGCGGGACAAGAAAAACACCAUGGCCAGAGAGAAGAGGGCAAAGACCACAGCAAAGUCACUUUUGGGGGAAUUGAGUGAAAAAAAUCUCAUUACUGAAGAACUCAAAGAACGGCUUGAAUUCUACUCUGAUCUACAACUAGAGUUUAUGGAGAAAAAGGGCCAUGAAUACUCCAACGAAUAUAGAGAGUUUGCCCUCACACUUCAUCUCCAUGGCCCAAAGGCAUACAAAUACCUUAGAGAGAAGCGAAGAUUUCCCCUCCCACAUCCGCACACAUUACAAAGGUGGUUGUGUUCAGUAGAUGACAGGCCUGGCUUGAACAAGAUGAUGCUGGACAUGCUGGAGAGAAAAUGCCAGGAAGACCAUGCUAAAUAUGGAUUUGUUGCACUCAUUUUGGAUGCAAUGGCAAUCAGAAAACAUGUGCAAUAUAAUCUACAUACACAGUCACUGUCUGGCUUCGUGGACCUGGGGGAUGGAAACAAUGAUACUGAGGUUGCUACUGAGGCUCUUAUGUUUAUGGUGGUUGGCCUCCAAGGGCAUUGGAAGGCUCCCAUUGCGUACUACCUGACGGCGUCUCUGUCACCAGACACACAAAAGGUACUUGUCAGUCAUGCUUUAGAGGAGCUGCAUGCUCGAGGAAUUUGGGUGCUAUGUAUAACAAUGGAUGGGCAUGCUACCAACAUCAGCAUGUGUAACCAACUUGGGUGUGAACUGAAGGGAAACCCACAAGAACCCCUGAAAACCAAUUUCCCACAUCCAGUUACUGGAGAGAAAGUAUUUGUAAUGAUGGA